rnacentral:lncRNA from 1 species
UAAGAUUCAUAUGAAAAAAGGGUAAUUAAAAAAUGUUGAUAAUUAAAGGAGUUAUGAUCCUUGGGAUUUUGACUUCGACUUGUUGACUUUUAGGUCAAACCUCUUGAAACAAGCGUGUGUAUUUGGACUUUCCUUGCAUUCCAAAGCACAUGGGUGAUCAUAUGAACUCAAGAUAAGGUGUCCUUGAUUGUAUCUUGAUCAGAUUGCU